AUUGAACGCUGGCGGCAUGCCUUACACAUGCAAGUCGAACGGCAGCACGGGGGCAACCCUGGUGGCGAGUGGCGAACGGGUGAGUAAUGCAUCGGAACGUGCCCCGUAGCGGGGGAUAACCAGUCGAAAGACUGGCUAAUACCGCAUACGCUCCACGGAGGAAAGCAGGGGAUCGCAAGACCUUGCACUAUGGGAGCGGCCGAUGCCCGAUUAGCUAGUUGGUGAGGUAAAGGCUCACCAAGGCGACGACGGGUAGCCGGCCUGAGAGGGCGACCGGCCACACUGGGACUGAGACACGGCCCAGACUCCUACGGGAGGCAGCAGUGGGGAAUCUUGCGCAAUGGGCGAAAGCCUGACGCAGCGACGCCGCGUGAGGGAUGACGGCCUGGUGU
rnacentral:rRNA from 1 species